rnacentral:rRNA from 1 species
CCGAGGAUGGGUCUGCGGCGGAUUAGGUAGUUGGUGGGGUAACGGCCCACCAAGCCUAAGAUCCGUACGGGCUGUGGGAGCAGGAGCCCGGAGAUGGACCCUGAGACAAGGGUCCAGGCCCUACGGGGCGCAGCAGGCGCGAAACCUCCGCAAUGCGGGAAACCGCGACGGGGUUAGCCGGAGUGCCCGUGCAUUGCACGGGCUGUCGGGGUGCCUAAACAGCACCCCAUAGCAAGGGCCGGGCAAGGCCGGUGGCAGCCGCCGCGGUAAGACCGGCGGCCCGAGUGGCGGCCACUCUUAUUGGGCCUAAAGCGUCCGUAGCCGGCCCAGUAAGUCCCCCGGGAAAUCUGGUCGCUUAACGAUCAGACUUCCGGGGGAUACUGCUGGGCUAGGGACCGGGAGAGGCCGAGGGUAUUCCCGGGGUAGGGGUGAAAUCCUGUAAUCCCGGGAGGACCACCUGUGGCGAAGGCGCUCGGCUGGAACGGGUCCGACGGUGAGGGACGAAGGCCUGGGGAGCGAACCGGAUUAGAUACCCGGGUAGUCCAGGCUGUAAACGAUGCGGGCUAGGUGUCACCGGAGCUACGAGCUCCGGUGGUGCCGGAGGGAAGCCGUUAAGCCCGCCGCCUGGGGAGUACGGCCGCAAGGCUGAAACUUAAAGGAAUUGACGG